rnacentral:tRNA from 1 species
GGAGAGGUGGCCGAGCUGGUCGAAGGCGCUCCCCUGCUAAGGGAGUAUAGGGGCAAAAACCUCUAUCAAGGGUUCGAAUCCCUUCCUCUCCG